rnacentral:lncRNA from 1 species
AGAGAGCAAGACUGGGUCAUUAAAAACCUCUGGAGGAGAGGACCUCGGUGAGUUCGUUUCCAUAAAUAAAAACGACUUCUCCCCUUGAAGAAGCAGACUAAGAAGACACUGCUUUUUGAGGGAAGGGAGGAGGCAUGUGGCUGGGACUGGCAGUGUGGGUAGACAAAGUGCCUCUCACCCCCAGCGAGAUCCACUCAUUCCAACGUAGAUAUUUGAAAUGGACCUGGGUUCCCACUCUACAGAGGAGCACUGCGGGAUCACUGAGCGCAGUCAGAGUUCCAGCUUUGAAGGACCUUGUCCUGCAGUCAGGGAGGUAAGCAGUAUGUGUCCACAAACGGCUGUCGUGGAAGAGAAGACAUUCUUGGGCUUUAAGGGGGACUGCAGAUCCUUUCCAAGUCAUCAAAGGAAGCAAGGUAGUCCGCUGAUUUGUCUCCCUCUGAGACAUUUAGGGGGAGAGCGCCUCACUUGCCAGAAAGACCAAGGACUGCACCGCAGACACCCACCUUUCUUUUCCUCAUCCGGC